rnacentral:rRNA from 1 species
UACGUAGGGUGCGAGCGUUGUCCGGAAUUAUUGGGCGUAAAGGGCUCGUAGGCGGUUUGUCGCGUCGGGAGUGAAAGCCCCGGGCUCAACCUGGGAAUUGCAUUCGAGACUGAAUAGCUAGGGUACGGUAGAGGGAAGUGGAAUUUCCGGUGUAGCGGUGAAAUGCGUAGAUAUCGGAAGGAACAUCAGUGGCGAAAGCGACUUCCUGGACCAGUACCGACGUUCAGGCACGAAAGCGUGGGGAGCAAACAGG